UACGAAGGGGGCUAGCGUUGUUCGGAAUUACUGGGCGUAAAGGGCGCGUAGGCGGCGUGUCAAGUCAGGCGUGAAAACUCAGGGCUCAACCCUGAGCGUGCGUCCGAUACGGGCAGACUAGAGGUAUGCAGGGGAGAACGGAAUUCCGGGUGUAGCGGUGGAAUGCGUAGAGAUCCGGAAGAACACCGGUGGCGAAGGCGGCCUGCUGGGCUAUGGCUGACACUGAGGCGCGACAGCGUGGGGAGCAAACAGG
rnacentral:rRNA from 1 species